GCCGGAUGUCGUCCCUCAGCUGGCGGUACUCCUCGGCCGUGGCCACCAAAUGGGGUCCGAUGGCCACCAAUGUCCCCAGAGCCUCCCGCAGUCCCUCCAGCUCCGUCUGGGUGCGGCUGAGAGCCGCCUGCAGGUGCUCCGGGCUGUACGUCUCCGCCAGCAGCGUCAGCUCCUCCAACCUACGGCACACCGACAUCCCGUAAUAGCGGCAGUGACGUCAUCGCCGCGACGGUGACGUCAUCACAGGGACGUCACUGCAGCGACGUCGCCGCUGUCGCCAUCGCGGCGCCACCGCCGUUGGGGGGGGUGGGAGGGGCCAAUGGGGGGGAUCCAACCAAUGGGAGGAGGGAAUGGACAGAAUGGGCGGGGCCAACCGAUGGGAGGAGCCAAUGGGGGGACUCCACUGGUGGGAGGAGCCAAUGGGGCAAUCCCACCAAUGGGAGGAGUCAGAGAGGAGCGUGGGUGGGACCUCAUGGGAGGAACCAAUGGGAGGAGUGGGCAGGAGCAAUCAAUGGGAGGAACCAAUGAGGGAAGUGGGCGGGUCCUUGGGAUGGAAAUGACAGGGGAACCAACCAAUGGCAGGAGGCGGUGGGCCAAGUGGGCGGUGCCGCGCAACUGUCACUCACCGCGCCUUGAGCAGCAUGGCCGCCGCCUUGGCCUGCAGGUAGCGCCCCCUGCACCGCUCCACCUCGGCCUGCUGGGCCUGCAGGGCCUUCAGCUGCCCCAACAGCACCGAGCAGCGCA